rnacentral:rRNA from 1 species
AGUGAACGCUGGCGGUAGGCCUAACACAUGCAAGUCGAACGGCAGCACAGGAGAGCUUGCUCUCUGGGUGGCGAGUGGCGGACGGGUGAGGAAUACAUCGGAAUCUACUCUGUCGUGGGGGAUAACGUAGGGAAACUUACGCUAAUACCGCAUACGACCUACGGGUGAAAGCAGGGGACCUUCGGGCCUUGCGCGAUUGAAUGAGCCGAUGUCGGAUUAGCUAGUUGGCGGGGUAAAGGCCCACCAAGGCGGCGAUCCGUAGCUGGUCUGAGAGGAUGAUCAGCCACACUGGAACUGAGACACGGGCCAGGCUCCUACGGGAGGCAGGAGUGGGGAAUAUUGGACAAUGGGCGCAAGGCUGAUCCAGCCAUACCGCGUGGGUGAAGAAGGCCUUCGGGUUGUAAAGCCCUUUUGUUGGGAAAGAAAUCCAGCUGGCUAAUACCCGGUUGGGAUGACGGUACCCAAAGAAUAAGCACCGGCUAACUUCGUGCCAGCCGCCGCCGUAA